UACGUAGGGUGCAAGCGUUGUCCGGAAUUAUUGGGCGUAAAGAGCGUGUAGGCGGCCUGAUAAGUCGGCUGUGAAAGUCAAGGGCUCAACCCUUGAAUGCCGGCCGAUACUGUCAGGCUAGAGUCCGGAAGAGGCGAGUGGAAUUCCUGGUGUAGCGGUGAAAUGCGCAGAUAUCAGGAGGAACACCUAUGGCGAAGGCAGCUCGCUGGGACGGUACUGACGCUGAGACGCGAAAGCGUGGGGAGCGAACAGG
rnacentral:rRNA from 1 species